rnacentral:rRNA from 1 species
AAACCUGAGAAACCCAAAAGAUCGAAUGGGGAGAUUCAUCGUCAGCGAUCCAGGCACGUGCGCGGUUCGCGAUGCCGGAGGCUUCGGUCUCAUGGCACGCGUCCGCGCAUGGUUUUUUGCCGGGUUUCGUCGGCGUGCACUUCUCCCCUAGUAGGACGUCGCGACCCGUUGGGUGUCGGUCUACGGCCCGGGUGGGCGCCUGUCUAUGUGUUACGCUUCACGGCGUCAUGUGGCAGACCCCCGGUUGUCUGACCAGCUGCUCGGCGGUACUCGCACGGUAUCGAGCCGCAAACAUUCGAACUGCGUCCGGCCCGCUGCAAGCGCGGCCAGUGUUUCCCGGAUGUACGGACCUAGCGCCGUCACCGGGCCUGGCCAGCUGUUGGUUGGCGGUGUCCUGGGACUGGCUCAAAGAUACCGGUCGGCGACGCUACUGCUUUGGGUACUUUCAGGACCCGUCUUGAAACACGGACCAAGGAGUCUAACAUGUGCGCGAGUCAUUGGGAACUCUUAAGCCUAAAGGCGCAAUGAAAGUGAAGGUCGGCCUUGCGCCGACCGAGGGAGGAUGGGCCGCGUCACGAUGCGGUCCCGCACUCCCGGGGCGUCUCGUUCUCAU